rnacentral:rRNA from 1 species
GCGGACGGGUGAGUAACACGUGGGUAACCUGCCCAUAAGACUGGGAUAACUCCGGGAAACCGGGGCUAAUACCGGAUAACAUUUUGAACUGCAUGGUUCGAAAUUGAAAGGCGGCUUCGGCUGUCACUUAUGGAUGGACCCGCGUCGCAUUAGCUAGUUGGUGAGGUAGCGGCUCACCAAGGCAACGAUGCGUAGCCGACCUGAGAGGGUGAUCGGCCACACUGGGACUGAGACACGGCCCAGACUCCUACGGGAGGCAGCAGUAGGGAAUCUUCCGCGAUGGACGAAAGUCUGACGGAGCAACGCCGCGUGAGUGAUGAAGGCUUUCGGGUCGUAAAACUCUGUUGUUAGGGAAGAACAAGUGCUAGUUGAAUAAGCUGGCACCUUGACGGUACCUAACCAGAAAGCCACGGCUAACUACGUGCCAGCAGCCGCGGUAAUAAUC